UGAAGGAGAAGUUAGUAAGGGCACACGGUGGAUGCCUUGGCGCCAGGAGCCGAAGAAGGACGGGGCGAACA
rnacentral:rRNA from 1 species